rnacentral:lncRNA from 1 species
AUGGAAGACAAAUGCAGACAGGGAAACUGGAGCAUUAGAAAUGAAGGAAGAACAUCAGAAAUGGUAAAUAUCUGGGAGCAGAGAAUGGGAAGUCACUGGCAUGAGCUACAGACUGUGCCCUGCUCUGGCUGCAAAGCCUGCUUUGUAGCAGAACCAACUGGCAUCAUUUUAGAAGUUCCUCUAGCAACGUUUGGCAGCCUGGGAGCAGAAUCAGAGAUAAUGAGUAGUUGGCUUGCCUCAGAGUCAGGGAUUUGUGGCAGAAAAUCAAGAGGCUCGAGGUGUGAAGAUGCUGAGUGUUUUCUGUCCUCACCUUGGAGGGUGAGUUGCAUGAUGACUUGGGGGAGGUGCUGUGAGUCCUUCGUGGCUCCAACCAUGCUGCUUUGAAGUCAAUGCCCUGCUGUCUCCGUGGCUGCCCAGGGUCACACACAGACCUGAAGAUGUGGGGCUGGCCCUUCUGACUUUGUCAAUGUGGGAAGUGUGUCCUCAGUUUGGACAGAGACUUCUAGGUCUCAGGGACUUGUCUCGCUCCCUUAAGGCACACACCAGUAGAUUUGCUUGAAAGUAGUGACAUGAUGAAUACUAGGGCUUUUUUCUCCUCUUUCUUUUUAGUUUUGGUUUAAAGCACAACAACAUGACAAAAUGUACUUUCUAAUCUUUUCUUUAUUUUUGUCCGUAUAUAUAUCAUAUUAUGUUAGAGGGCUUCUAAAAAGCCUCCCAGAGACCUCUGCUUCCUGUUUUUCAUGCCCUUGUGUUAUAAAGUGUGAGCUGAACCUAGGGACUUAAUCUAAUGAAUAGAAAAAUAAAAAAAGCAACAGGAUGUUACUUCUGAAUUUGGGGUUGUAAAAAUCGUGACUUGUGUUUCACUUGUCUUUUCUUACUGUUGCUUUCUCACUUUGGGGUAACUGCCAUGUUGUGAGCUGCCCUAAGUAGAGGCCCAUGUGACAGGAAAAUGAGGGUCACUCCCAGCCAGGUCCAGUGAGGAACUGAGGCUCUCAGUCUAGGAAACUGCAAAGAACGCUGCCAACAACCAACAAGAUUACAAAUGGAUUCUUCCCCCGACAAAUCUUGAGACACAAGUUCCAGGUGACACUUGAGUAUAGCAUGUAAAGCAGAGUCUAAUCUGUGCUUGAAUUCCUGACCCACAGACACUGUGCAAUAAUCAAUGAUGUUUUAAGCCAUUAAGCUGUGGAAGUAUUUGUUUAGCAGCAAUAGAUAACAAAUACACAUGUAUUAUGAGCUUUAAAAUGCUAUUACUUAUAAGACAUCUAUUAUUUUAUGUACCCUAAAUAAGAAACAUUACUUUUGUAAAGAUUGAAUGAUCCUACCAAUAUAAUCUAUUAUCAGAUGGUAACUCAUUUUACUGUAGGAUGUAGCCUGAUUUCAGACAUGCUAAUAUGUGAAAAAUGUGCAUCUUCGAAUCAGUGACACUAUGGUAGUUGUAACCAUCAUAUGCAUAAAUUUCAUGUAAUAUAUUUUCUACUGGAUGAUUUAGUAUGGAGGUAGUCCUAGGCUGUGUAUAGCCUUUUACCAUCAGUUUGUAUUUGAAAAGGCAGCAAAAGCACAUGGCAAAGUAUUUAACAUAGCUAACAGAUAAUACCCACAUGGUGAUGAAGCGUAAUUGUCAAUUUGACUGGAUUAAGAGACUCCUAGAGAGGUGAUUGGGUCAUGGGGACCCUGUACUCAUCAGUGGAUUAACUCACUAAUGUUCAUAGCUGCACAUGCUGUUAUUACAAGGUGAGGCCCAAUUGAACAUGGCUCAGUGGGGGUAUGCCUUGGAGAGUAUAUCUCUUGUUGGUGCUCUUUUUCCUGUGCUCUGCUUCCUAGCUCUCAUAGGUGGAGCAGCUUUCCGCCACCAGUUUUCUGCCAUGCCAUUUCUGCCUUGCAGUCAGCUGACUAUGGAUUGACCCCUCUGGAAUGGUGAGCCAAAAUAAAUCUCUUCUCCUUAAAUUGUGGUGUUGGGUAUUUUGUUCCAGUAAUGGGAAAGCUAACCCAUAUGGUACCCAAGUGCUCCUUCUCUCUUCUAUCUUUUCUCUUUUAACACAGUUGGUAGCAUACUAUGUACAUUGCUCUCUACCUUGCUCACUUUUAAAAAGAUGUCAUGGAAAUAUUUUCAUAAUACUAUGUAAAG